rnacentral:rRNA from 1 species
GACGAACGCUGGCGGCGUGCCUAAUACAUGCAAGUCGAACGCUGAAGGCGGGGCUUUCUUCUCUGGUUGAGUGGCGAACGGGUGAGUAACGCGUGAGUAACCUGCCCUGUAGCGGGGGAUAACUAUUGGAAACGAUGGCUAAUACCGCAUAGUAGUUGAUGUUGCAUGGCAUUUGCUGGAAAGGUGCGGUUGCAUGGCUACCAGUCGGGGCUGCGGUGUAUUUGGUUGGUGUUGAGGUUACGGCUCUCCAAGGCGAGGAUCCGUAUCCAAACUGAGAGGGGGAGCAGCCGGCCUGGGACGGUGACAGGCCACAGACUGACUCGGGAGGCGGCAGGACGGAAUCUGCGGGAAUCGACGGAAGUCUGACCGAGCAACGCGGAGGGAGUGAAGAAGGUUGUCGGGUCGUAAAGCACUGUUGUAAGGGAGUAACGAGUGUGCGAGUGGAAAGUUCACACUGUGACGGUAUCUUACCAGAAAGGGACGGCUAACUACGUG